AAAAGAAAGAAAAGAAACAAUACAGAGAAGAUUAGUAUGGCCCCUGUGCAAGGAUGACAUCCAAAUUCAUGAAGUGUUCCAUUAAAAU
rnacentral:snRNA from 1 species